AUACUUACCUGGCAGGGGAGACACCAUGAUCAUGAAGGUGGUUCUCCCAGGGCGAGGCACGGCUAUUGCACACUCUAGGCUGUGCUGAUCGUGGUUGUCUUCCCUGCCGCUUCUCGGCCUUUUGGCUAGGACUGGGUGUGGUAUCUGUCCUCAUCAGUU